rnacentral:rRNA from 1 species
CAAAGGUAGCGAAAUCAUUUGUCUACUAAUUAUAGACCAGUAUGAAGGGCCACAUGAGGGUUUAACUGUCUCCUGAGACAAAUUUAUAAAACUGAUCUCCCAGUUCAAAAGCUGGGAUUCUAACAUAAGACGAGAAGACCCUGUGAAGCUUAAAAAACCCCAUUAACACAGGUAAUGGGUACUUUUAGUUGGGGCAACUUUGGAAAAUAGACCAACCUCCAAAGACUAACAAGUCAAUGACGACCCAGUAUAACUGAGAAAUGGACCAAGUUACUCCAGGGAUAACAGCGCAAUCUUCUUCAAGAGCCCAUAUCUAAAAGAGGGUUUACGACCUCGAUGUUGGAUCAGGACACCCAAGCGGUGCAGUAGCUGCUAAAGGUUCGUUUGUUCAACGAUUAAAGU